rfam:Trichobilharzia regenti genome assembly, scaffold: TRE_scaffold0029445
AUACAGUUGACGAGUCCCAAAUAGGAUGAAAUGCGCAUCCUGGCUGGAU